CCUACGGGGGGCAGCAGUGGGGAAUAUUGGGCAAUGGGCGCAAGCCUGACCCAGCCAUGCCGCGUGAGUGAUGAAGGCCUUCGGGUCGUAAAGCUCUGUGGGAAGGGACGAAAAAAACGGGUCUAACACACCCGGGCUUGACGGUACCUUCUUAGCAAGCACCGGCUAACUCCGUGCCAGCAGCCGCGGUAAUACGGAGGGUGCAAACGUUGCUCGGAAUCAUUGGGCGUAAAGCGCACGUAGGCGGUCGGCUAUGUCGGAUGUGAAAGCCUCGGGCUUAACCCGAGAAGGGCAUCCGAAACUGGCCGGCUUGAGUACGGAAGAGGGUCUCGGAAUUCCCGGUGUAGAGGUGAAAUUCGUAGAUAUCGGGAGGAACACCAGUGGCGAAGGCGGAGACCUGGGCCGAUACUGACGCUGAGGUGCGAAAGCGUGGGGAGCAAACAGGAUUAGAUACCCGAGUAGUC
rnacentral:rRNA from 1 species